rnacentral:rRNA from 1 species
GUGGAAUGGUCUGGAAAGUCCAGCGGCACAGGGUGAUAGCCCCGUACACGAAAACUAACCUUUGAUGAAAACGAGUAAGGCGGGACACGUGAUAUCCUGUUUGAAUAUGGGGGGACCAUCCUCCAAGGCUAAAUACUCCUGACUGACCGAUAGUGAACCAGUACCGUGAGGGAAAGGCGAAAAGAACCCCUGUGAGGGGAGUGAAAUAGAACCUGAAACCGUAUACGUACAAGCAGUGGGAGCGGUUCUUGAGACCGUGACUGCGUACCUUUUGUAUAAUGGGUCAGCGACUUACGUUUUGUAGCGAGGUUAAGCGAAUAGCGGAGCCGUAGGGAAACCGAGUGUUAACUGCGCGUUUAGUUGCAAGGCGUAGACCCGAAACCCGGUGAUCUAGCCAUGGGCAGGUUGAAGGUUGAGUAACAUCAACUGGAGGACCGAACCGACUAAUGUUGAAAAAUUAGCGGAUGACUUGUGGCUGGGGGUGAAAGGCCAAUCAAACCGGGAGAUAUCUGGUUCUCCUCGAAAGCUAUUUAGGUAGCGCCUCGAGCGAAUACCAUUGGGGGUAGAGCACUGUUAAGGCUAGGGGGUCAUCCCGACUUACCAACCCUUUGCAAACUCCGAAUACCAAUGAGUACUACUCGGGAGACAGACGGCGGGUGCUAACGUCCGUCGUCAAAAGGGAAACAACCCAGACCGUCAGCUAAGGUCCCAAAGUGUAUGUUAAGUGGGAAACGAUGUGGGAAGGCUUAGACAGCUAGGAUGUUGGCUUAGAAGCAGCCAUCAUUUAAAGAAAGCGUAAUAGCUCACUAGUCGAGUCGGCCUGCGCGGAAGAUGUAACGGGGCUAAACAUACCACCGAAGCUACGGGUGCAAUUCAUUAGAGUUGCGCGGUAGAGGAGCGUUCUGUAAGCCGUUGAAGGUGAAGGGGUAACCCACACUGGAGGUAUCAGAAGUGCGAAUGCUGACAUGAGUAACGAUAAAGGGGGUGAAAAACCCCCUCGCCGAAAGACCAAGGGUUCCUGUCCAACGUUAAUCGGGGCAGGGUGAGUCGACCCCUAAGGUGAGGCCGAAAGGCGUAAUCGAUGGGAAACAGAUUAAUAUUUCUGUACUUCCGCUAACUGCGAUGGAGAGACGGAGAAGGCUAGGCUAGCGCGGCGUUGGUAGUCCGCGUUUAAGGUGGUAGGUGGGUGACUUAGGCAAAUCCGGGU